rnacentral:rRNA from 1 species
GACGAACGCUGGCGGCGUGCUUAACGCAUGCAAGUCGAACGCUGAAGCUCAGCUUUUGUUGGGUGGAUGAGUGGCGAACGGGUGAGUAACACGUGAGUAACCUGCCCCCUUCUUUGGGAUAACGCCCGGAAACGGGUGCUAAUACUGGAUAUUCACUGGUCUUCGCAUGGGGGUUGGUGGAAAGGGUUUUUCUGGUGGGGGAUGGGCUCGCGGCCUAUCAGCUUGUUGGUGGGGUGAUGGCCUACCAAGGCUUUGACGGGUAGCCGGCCUGAGAGGGUGACCGGUCACAUUGGGACUGAGAUACGGCCCAGACUCCUACGGGAGGCAGCAGUGGGGAAUAUUGCACAAUGGGCGCAAGCCUGAUGCAGCGACGCCGCGUGAGGGAUGGAGGCCUUCGGGUUGUGAACCUCUUUCGCUCGUGGUCAAGCCGCAACAAUGGUUGUGGUGAGGGUAGUGGGUAAAGAAGCGCCGGCUAACUACGUG